GCGGACUCCAGGGAUAAGGUCUUCUUUUUCUCCGGGUUUUUUUGGAGGUGAGGAGGAGACUCCCGAGGCCCCCACCGGACCAAUGCAGGCCGCGGUUGUUCAUCGCCUAGCAACUGGCGGAGCCAAUGGUAGGCGGCGGGGCCUGCGGCGCCGGCGCGCGGGGGCGGGGUGGGAACCUCGGAAACCUGCGGAGGCCGGGAGGCGGCUGCAAGGGGCGGGGAAGGCGGGAGCCCGAGGCGGAGGAGGGGCCGCUGGCGGGAGGCGCUGCUGGCCCUCGGGGCUGCGGGAGCCGGGCUAGGACGCCGAGCGGUGACUCCCCGCCGCUCCCGGGGGCCGUGACGCGCCCUGCUGCUCGGCGAGAGGCUCCGCGCGGCUGUUGGGGCCGUUGCAGGGUGCGGGCGAGCGUCGACCCUGGCCGCUCCUGGAGGAGGUGGUGGGAGAGUCUCAGCAGCGGCCGUGGAGCAUGCGGAGUUUGGCGAUUUGCUCGUGCAGCCGCAAGAGGCAGUCUUCAGAACCAGUUGUUGGGUGGCCGGUGGCCGCUGCAGUGGAGGAGAAUCCCGAGAGUGGUCCAGUAAAAAGUCUAGGGGAAGAAUUUACAUCAUCCAAGAAGCAGGCAUGUGUGAAAAUACUUUAGUUUAGAAUUUUAUCAUGAAAAUACUUUGGUUUAGAAUUUUGUAGUUAACGACAGUAAACUGAAUUGUGA
rnacentral:lncRNA from 1 species